GCCGGAGUGGCGGAAUGGCAGACGCAGGGGACUCAAAAUCCCCCGCCCCUUGGGGCGUGUGGGUUCGACUCCCACCUCCGGCACCA
rnacentral:tRNA from 1 species